rnacentral:rRNA from 1 species
UACGUAGGGUGCGAGCGUUGUCCGGAAUUAUUGGGCGUAAAGGGCUCGUAGGCGGUUUGUCGCGUCGGGAGUGAAAACACCGGGCUUAACUCGGUGCUUGCUUUCGAUACGGGGCAGACUAGAGGCAUGCAGGGGAGAACGGAAUUCCUGGUGUAGCGGUGAAAUGCGCAGAUAUCAGGAGGAACACCGGUGGCGAAGGCGGUUCUCUGGGCAUGUCCUGACGCUGAGGAGCGAAAGUGUGGGGAGCGAACAGG